rnacentral:sRNA from 1 species
UUCGGUUAUAUGUUUCGUGAUCUAUGUUGCAGACAGUGGACUAUAUUAUUUGCUGUACUGUACGUGACACAGAGUUCGUGUCUUUUUUAUUAAAGGUAAGUUUUAAUGUCAAAAAUUAAAGGUAACGUUAAGUGGUUUAAUGAAUCCAAAGGAUUUGGUUUUAUCACUCCAGAAGAUGGUAGUAAAGAUGUUUUUGUACACUUUUCCGCCAUUCAGUCUAGCGGAUUCAAGACUCUGGCUGAAGGCCAAAAAGUAGAGUUUGAAAUUACUGAGGGUGCGAAAGGUCCAUCUGCUGCAAACGUUGUCGCAAUCUAAUUUCGAAUCCCGUAUUCUGAAAACCCGUUUUGAUAACGGGUUUUUUUA